CCAAGGGACUAGGGUUAAGCUCCUAUAUAAACCCUCAAAAUACAUUUAGUUCACCUCCUUCAUCCCUCCUCAGUCGCUAAUCAGAAAGUGCAGAGAGAUUUUCUAGCUGAUAUGGUUCCUGGCUGCACAAUACUGGUGGAUUUGAUAUCUGGAGAAAGAUAGGCUCGAAAUGACGAUGAUUGUUUCUACAUGUCUGCUCAAAAGUCUCUAAGCCAUAAAUCCUCGGUUUUUUAUUUUUCCUUUUAAAUUUCAAUGGGAGUGAACUAUCAUUACAUAUAAGAAAUUGGACCUAAAUUAUUAAAAUUAAAAAUAUAAAAUUAAAGUAUAAUUAAGACUUAGCCUUUCUUCUUCUCCUUGAUUUCUCUGCGAUUAUCUUGUAUCUAGUUUAGGGAUUUUUAUCACUCUCUUGGGCGUAGGGAUUUUUAUCCCUCUCUUGGACGAUUAAUAAAGGUUAUUUAUUAUUUUUUUAA